CCCUCUUUUCUCUUUCUUUCCUCUUAUGUUUCAUCCUCGUUCUCAUAUCUCAUCUCUCUCUCUCUCCAUCAUCCGGUGAAGAAGAAGGAGAAACAGAGAAACAAUAAUAAAUUCAAAAGUUUAAUUUCGUACCAUCGUAUUCAAUAUUUGCUUUCACUGGUUCCUAUUCCACCGUCUGCCUCUUCUAUCGACCAUACCAAUGUAAACCCUAGGCGCCACCACCGGCUCUGCCACCAGGCAUGCUCACCGUUUAUCUUCCCUAUGCCACCAGCGUUUAACCACUCUUCCAAACUUAAUCAGCAAAAAGUUAGAACUUCAGGUUAAUGACUCGAUCACAUGAAAUUUACAAUCUCUCUCAAAUGUUUGCUUCAAUCAUCGCCCCGUGUCAAUAUCUUCUCCGCCUCAAUCUGUUUCAAUUUCUUUUCUUUUACUAUGUCGGCUGAAUUGUCGGCCACGACAACCCAAAUCUUUAGCACAGGGCCAUAACAAUGAUUCUUGUUUUCAUGGUAAUGAUGUUGGAUAUCAAGGCGCUGGUGAGUGAGAAAUUUAAUUUACUGCAAUUUAGCUGCAGGCCAACUAAAUCAAAUCCGACCCUUCGUUCAGUCCAUGACCAUCGCCAAGUUUCUUCAAAACCUUUUCUCCAUAGGUACGCUUCACGUAUUUAUCAUUGUAUCAUUUUUUUAAUAGGUUAGCUUAUCAAUUUUGAUAUCUCUUUGUAGACGAACGGACUUUUGGUUUAUGUAUUUUCCCCCAAUUUUGCUCUUAUUUUCCAUACCAUCGCUCCCCCAAUUUCAAUCCCUUUUCUUUCCAGAAUAUGAAUCAUCCUAAAUAAGAUUUGAUACCAGUAUGAGCUUUUCAGGUAAUUUAAGAUGGUCAUGAUGAAUCAUCAUGAUGGACUAAUGAUAAGGUCUCCACAGUUAUUCUUCGUUAUCUUUUUGGGGCAAUUUAGUUAUUAUUUUUAUUCUGUACCAUUCUUUUCAAUAAUGUUGAACCAUGUAGUUUUAACCUCAUAUUCAAUUCUUAGUAUUUCAUUUUAAAAUUAUCUCUCCUAAUGAUGAAUUAUACCUAUGAUGUGAAACCUUUGGUUGUUCUUUUAGAUAUACCACGGUUGCCAACCAUAUCUUACAGCACUACAUUGUUGCAUAUUCAAUUUAUCGAUGUCAUAUAUAGAAACAUGGCAUACCGAAUGUGAUUGUGAACUCUGGCUCCUUAUAAGCCAUGGUAGCAAGCCAUUAAUACCCUUUUUUCCCAUGAUUUCAGUUGAUUCAGAGGAUAUAUGGUCUCUACCACCUUGUUUUCACGAAUAUGUUUAUACAACUAAUCAUAGAACCUUUCGACUAUUAGAUAUUUUUCCAAAUAUGUUUCAAGUGUCACUUUUUUAUUUAACCGUAGAAAUAAUCUUUUGAAUAGUUUUAGUAGUGGAAUUUGAUAAAGGUAAAAUUCAAAUUUGAGUGCAUAGAGUCAUUGUGAUAAGACUUUAAAGUAGCUUGAGAAAGUGGUUAAUUGAAAGCUGAAAGCUACCAUAAUAGGAAAGUUCAUGCUCAAUUACAAAUGGAUACAAAUGGAAAAGAAGCAAUACAGGUAUGUAAACUACACUUCUCUUUGCUUUAAUCUAAUUAAAUAUUACUGCCCUUUUUCAUUUUGAUUUUGUGGUUUCUUGCAACAUGUUUUUUUUUCACAAAAAAUCAUAUCAUCCUGUUCCAGCCAAAAAAGAUGCGAGAUAUUUAUUUAUUUAACUAUUCCUUGAUAUAAAAAAUGACAAAACUACCAUUGAUCCUUCCUAUAGUUCCAGAUUCACUUUUUGAAGAUGGACAACUCUGGUGACCAUUCUUGUCAUUUUAAACUUGUCUAUUUAUAUUUACACUUGGGACAGUAGCGAUUAAACCGAUAACAAUUGAAAAUGAACACAAAUAUAGACAAGCAUAUUGUAAUAACAUGAUCAUAUAUAUUUUAAGGGUAAACACCAUUGAAUUUGGCGUUGAUUAAUAUCUGAAUAUAUAUGUCUUAUUUCUCUUUGUGAUAUGGCAUUAUAGGUCAAGAAUACACAUAGAGUUGAAGGAGAACAAUGUACUCGCUGCAGCAGUAACCAUUUUCUAUUUUCCUACUUUGAGACGACUUUUAACGUUUAUAUGAACAUCCUACUAAACGGUGAAGUAAAUAACAGGAGUGCGAAGAGCUUGAUCUUAUUAAUGCAUUGUACUUUGAAAACGCCAUAUCAUUAUACUAUCAUUUUUCUUCUUAAUGUACUUUUAAAAAGACCACAAAAUUAUAGCAUCUUACUUUCAAUUUCUCUUA